rnacentral:tRNA from 1 species
GCGGGUGUAGCUCAACGGUAGAGCAGGAGCCUUCCAAGCUUCUGAUGGCGGUUCGAUUCCGCUCACCCGCU